AAAUAUUAAAGAUUUGAUAGAAAAUGAAAAUUUUAAAGAUCAUGAGGAAAAAUAAAUUUCAGGCAAAGUUCGUGAUAUUAUAUGCAAUUAAUCCUUUUUUUUAUGACGGUGAGAUUUCGAACUAUGACAUUUUUGUUUGAAUAAUCAAAUCAAAUGUCUAAAUUCUAAUGUAUGCCAGUAUGUGAGCAUACAUAAUUUUUUUUUUUUGUACUUGGGGGAGUUGGGGAGGGGGAGCAGUGGGGUUUGAACUCAGGACCUCACUGUUCACACACAGGAGGUCGCACUGUUGGUGUCCUUGGAUACAGCAUACAUAAAUAUUUAGGGCGUGUUUGAUAUUGGUUAAUACACUGUAUUAACUAAUUUAGUACAGAUCAGUCUAGUGUUUGGUAUUAUUUAGUAAUAAUGCGGAUGACCCGGUUUAAUCUCACGACCCUGUAUUAUUAAUCCAGAUUUCUU
rnacentral:lncRNA from 1 species